rnacentral:pre_miRNA from 1 species
AUAAUACUCCCUCCGUCCGGAAAUAUUUGUCGAAGAAAUGCAUAAAAAUGGAUGUAUCUAGAAUUAAAAUGCGUCUAGAUACAUCCAUUCCUCUGACAAGUAUUUCCGGACGGAGGGAGUAGUAU